GAUGAAGAACGCAGCAAAAUGCGAUAAGUAAUGUGAAUUGCAGAAUUCAGUGAAUCAUCGAAUCUUUGAACGCACAUUGCGCCCGCCAGUAUUCUGGCGGGCAUGCCUGUUCGAGCGUCAUUUCAACCCUCAAGCACAGCUUGGUGUUGGGACUCGCGUUAAUUCGCGUUCCCCAAAUUGAUUGGCGGUCACGUCGAGCUUCCAUAGCGUAGUAGUAAAACCCUCGUUACUGGUAAUCGUUGCGGCCACGCCGUUAAACCCCAACUUCUGAAUGUUGACCUCGGAUCAGGUAGGAAUACCCGCUGAACUUAAGCAUAUCAAUAAGCGGAGGA
rnacentral:misc_RNA from 1 species